rnacentral:rRNA from 1 species
AACGAACGCUGGCGGCAGGCUUAACACAUGCAAGUCGAGCGCCCCGCAAGGGGAGCGGCAGACGGGUGAGUAACGCGUGGGAACGUACCCUUUGCUACGGAAUAGCUCCGGGAAACUGGAAUUAAUACCGUAUGUGCCCUACGGGGGAAAGAUUUAUCGGCAAAGGAUCGGCCCGCGUUGGAUCAGCUAGUUGGUGGGGUAAUGGCCUACCAAGGCGACGAUCCAUAGCUGGUCUGAGGGGAUGAUCAGCCACAUUGGGACUGAGACACGGCCCAAACUCCUACGGGAGGCAGGAGUGGGGAAUAUUGGGCGAUGGGCGCAAGACUGAUCCAGCCAUGCCGCGUGAGUGAUGAAGGCCUUAGGGUUGUAAAGCUCUUUCACCGGAGAAGAUAAUGACGGUAUCCGGAGAAGAAGCCCCGGCUAACUUCGUGCCAGCAGCCGCGGUAACAC